rnacentral:lncRNA from 1 species
GCUUCAUACAUGAGAAAUAUUUCUUUUGAUCAGAGUAGUUUGCAAGUGCGUGGGUCAAAUUUAAGCAUCGAGUUUUUAACGAGUGGCUCCUGUGUGUGAAGUGCUACAUGAGCUAGCUCUGGGGUAGACAGGCAGAACAGGGCACCAAACAUUAAAAUGGGCACGGGAAAGAUGUUUAAUGAUGGUUCAAGGUGGACACUAGGAGGAGCAUGAGAAAGCAGCACACGAGCAAAGAGGAAAAGAGGCACAGGAAUUCCCAGGCAAGAAAUACAGAUAGUAAAAGCUGUUGCACGGAGCUCCUGGAAGGCUGGUGAGCAGAGCAAAUGGACAAGAGAAGCUAUUCACAUCUUCCAAACUCUGAGACAAGACAUCCUGGGACAAAUCACUGUGAGGACUGCAGCCAGUUAUGGCAGGAGGUCCCGUAUCACUGAAUCUGGAGCUGGAGGGGUCCAGGAAACACCAGCAGUCAUUUUGCCGGAGAUAUUGAUCAGCCAGAGAAUACUCGUCUGUGAACUGGGUAAAUCCAGGGGCAGGACUGGAGGCAGGUUUACCUGAAGUAAGCAACAGUGUCCGGUGGAAUGAGGAGCCUAACAUUCUAGGUGACAAUUUUUACAUCCAAUUCACUGGAAAUAUGGUUGAGUUUCUUGGUAGGAAAAUUAAUUUUUUUAGCACUAGGGCCUCUGAACCAGCAGAGUUCCAAGAAUGAGAAGUAAACAUUUAAAAAGUCCAGCAUUGGGUGAAAUACUAAGGGUUCCUUUCCUAUUUCUGCACUUUGGUUGGUGGAAUUGUUUUCCAACUGUGGAAGAAACACUAUAUAUUGGUCACUCGUUC